rnacentral:rRNA from 1 species
UACAGAGGGGGCAAGCGUUGUUCGGAAUUACUGGGCGUAAAGGGCGCGUAGGCGGCCUGCUAAGUCGAACGUGAAAUCCCUGGGCUCAACCCAGGAACUGCGUCCGAUACUGGUUGGCUUGAAUCCGGGAGAGGGAUGUGGAAUUCCAGGUGUAGCGGUGGAAUGCGUAGAGAUCCGGAAGAACACCGGUGGCGAAGGCGGCCUGCUGGGCAGUUGCUGACGCUGAGGCGCGACAGCGUGGGGAGCAAACAGG